GUUACCGAAUCUGGACAAAAAAACGGAGCUUCUCCAGCCACAUGCCUACCAUGCAGAGGCUCUUCAUGACCCAGUUUACACAGGGCCUGAAAGGGUUACGGUCUCCAGCCUCCAUAGCAGACAAGGUCUUCUGUUCUCUGCCCUACUCGGUGGGCAGAGUCCUAUCCAUUUGGAGCCAGCAUGGUCCUUCUGUCUGCUCCUUCGAAAUCUCUUCUCUUCAUUCCCCUCACUGCAAGCGGCAACCAAGUCUGGGCACCACAAGCAGCCACACCAUGUUACCAUAUGUGCCUCUUCCAGGCAUGGAAGCUACAUAUAACACCAGCGGCAGUCAGACGAGGUAAGCACAUGAGACUCAGCGUGUGUGUGCGCGUGUGCGUGUGUGUGUGCAAGAGAGAGAGUGCAUACAUAGGUGGUGUGGAUCGUCUGUGGCAUGACUUUGACCUCUUGUCCUUGUAAACCUGAUCUAUGUCUCUCAGAUAAACAUUUCUGAGAUUGAAAUCUGUUCUAUUACAAGCAGCAACUAGGAAUGUGUAAUAAUACAAUUUGUU
rnacentral:lncRNA from 1 species